UACGGGGGGGGCAAGCGUUGUUCGGAAUUACUGGGCGUAAAGGGCUCGUAGGCGGCCAACUAAGUCAGACGUGAAAUCCCCAGGCUUAACCUGGGAACUGCGUCGGAUACUGGAUGGCUUGAAUCCGGGAGAGGGAUGCGGAAUUCCAGGUGUAGCGGUGAAAUGCGUAGAUAUCUGGAGGAACACCGGUGGCGAAGGCGGCAUCCUGGACCGGUAUUGACGCUGAUGAGCGAAAGCCAGGGGAGCAAACGGG
rnacentral:rRNA from 1 species